rnacentral:tRNA from 1 species
UCCUCCUUGGCUCAGUUGGCUAGAGCGUCCGACUGUUAUUACAACCAUCGGGAGGUCAAUAGUUCGAACCUAUUAGGAGGAG